GCGGAAACUUCCAGCCUCACAGCACAAAGGGAUGGGUGGAUGGUUGGGCCCUGACAGAACACUGUGGUGGGGAUGCGGGUGUGGAGAUUCUUGGGCGUUUGGAAAGCCUUCGAUGCGUCAUGUUUGAAGGCAUCACGACCUAGCCAAGUGAAUCUUUUUGACCUUUCUGUGUUCUAGAUGAAAGCAAUUCUUGGCCUCAGUGAACUUGCAAAAAAAAAAAAAAAUGCAGAUUAGGUAGGUUUUUAUCUGGCGAUAUAUGCAGUGAUUUUGUUUUUACAUUUGAUGAAAUGUUAAAACUUGAAAUGUUAGAUGUAAAUACUUGGCUAAGUAGAAAGCUGGGCCCUAAGUUUGCUUUUCUUUUUCUUCCCCCGCCCCCCUUUUUUCUUUUUGGUCAUUUUUACUCUGUAUCAUGGAACUGGCAAAUAAGACAUGACCUGCUUCCUCUAAAGCAUGUUAAAGUUUUGUAAUGCGUGGUUUUUCAGUCUUUUUUUUUUUUUUUUGUAAACAGUAUUGCAGGGGGUGAAGAGGUAGCAUCCAUUUUAAGUUUAUAAAACUCCCCCCAAAAUUCUUCAACAUUUUUAGUUUUAACUUUUUUUAGAACAGUUAAACCGGUGUAUUGUGGAUGUGACAUGUGAAAUACCUCUACUUAACAGAGAUGCCCAUGAGACAAAUCACCUAAUAAAUCUUACCUUAAAGCCCACUCCUAAGAAAAAAAAAUGAGCCAGCUUUAUUUUAUCCAUACAACAACCCUGUUAAUCAUGUUUUAAUAUCCCCAUUUUCUAGAUUUAAUGAAGGUAAGUAAUGCUCUGAACUUCAGCAUAGCAGUAUUUGAACUUCUGUGUUCUGAAAUCAAAAUCUAGGUUGCAUCCAACUAUCCCAGGCUCCAUAUAAUUAGAAUGAAAGUAAAUUGGAAAACAGACAUCAACUGUUUCAGCUUCCUUAUUUUACAAAGUACUUCAUUAUUUUACUUGAUGCAGAGUAACAUUGAGUUUGUAAAAGUGCAGUCAUUCUUGCUUCCAGUCUAUUGCUAGAAAUGCCAUAGCCCUGAAAAGCAAGUCUGUAUUUUAAUAAGGAAAAUAUGGUUGUGUUGCAUUUACAAAAAUAAGAGUUAUUAAGUCAUUUAGGAAAAAAUUCUCAAAAGAGAUUUAUGAUUUAGAAGAAUUCAAAUGUUAAUUCUAAAUAAUGUGAAUAAAAUGGACUUACUAUAUAGAAAAAUGUUUCUUAAAAACCUGCUACCAGUGCCAUAAUCUUGUUUGAAUUAAGUCAUUUACAUAAAAUAUAAACUGGGCCCAUGUGUCUCUAACUUCUAAUAUGUAAAACAAAAUAAAUUACUAAGUCUAGUUUAGAGUAAUUACGUUAAGAUUCAAUGUUUAAGACAAGACAAAGAUAGUAAUCUCCCAGAUUAUCUCUGUUAAUGAAGGAAGGCAAUUGUGUAGAUGAUUUGUUCAAUAAAUAAUAAAUUAAAAUAAUUUAUAUUACUUUUCAGGAUUAAUUACUUGCAUUCAUAAAGUCCUUAUUCAUUUUAAACUUCAGAAUAUUGGGUUGUAAGUUUUAUAAAUAUCAUACCCCUUCUUAAAAGGCCCCUCAUACUUUUAAACUCUUUUGCUUAAUAUAUGGAACUUAACUCUCUUCAUUUCCUGUCAUCUUUCUCUCCUCUCUUUGUCUAGCUAACUUUUUCCCCUCUUUCCCCAGGCCUAGCACACCUUUUUGCAUUCCUUUCCCAGUAUAACACAAGUCUCUAUUAUAUGAUACUCCACUCUUUAAUAUAAUGUAUCACCCUGUGUAACUCUUGAUUUACUUGUCUGUAUAUAUUAAACCUCCCCAAAGCAAAGGGCUUUUUUGCAUUCAUGAGUUGUGUUCAUGUGCACCACAUAGGUAUACAUAGUCAAGGGGCAAGGCAGUUUACUGGAGCCUCUUUUAUAAGGGCAGUUUGCUGAAGAGUCCCAAAUAAAACAGACUAAUAUAAGUAUGUAUGUAAUCGAGUAAGAAAGAAAACAAUGUUCAUUGUACUUGAGGAGUUUCAGUAAGAUCUCAUAAAAGAAGUGACACUUCUGUCAAAUAUUAAACAAUAAUUAAAGGGAAAGCAUUCCUGUUCCUCAUUAGAACUCAGCAAGCAUAUAUGUUCUGAGCACUAUAAGCAGUUCAGAAUGGCUAGGACACAGAAGACCUGGGGGACAUAAAGGAGAAUCAGAGAUGAGAACUCUCAGGACCAGAGCGAUUGUUCACAUUUGGGAAGUGGCAGAGUUUAAACUCCAAGAACUUUGAUCUCAAAGCCCAUGCUCUUGACUACUAAAG